GUGCCAGCCGCCGCGGUAAUACGUAGGUGGCAAGCGUUGUCCGGAAUUAUUGGGCGUAAAGCGCGCGCAGGCGGAUCAGUCAGUCUGUCUUAAAAGUUCGGGGCUUAACCCCGUGAUGGGAUGGAAACUGCUGAUCUAGAGUAUCGGAGAGGAAAGUGGAAUUCCUAGUGUAGCGGUGAAAUGCGUAGAUAUUAGGAAGAACACCAGUGGCGAAGGCGACUUUCUGGACGAAAACUGACGCUGAGGCGCGAAAGCCAGGGGAGCGAACGGGAUUAGAUACCCCGGUAGUCCUGGCCGUAAACGAUGGGUACUAGGUGUAGGAGGUAUCGACCCCUUCUGUGCCGGAGUUAACGCAAUAAGUACCCCGCCUGGGGAGUACGACCGCAAGGUUGAAACUCAAAGGAAUUGACG
rnacentral:rRNA from 1 species